GGCAGUAUGGCCUAGUGGAUCAGGUGAGUGACUGGAGAUCAAAAGGUCGUUGGUUCAAUCCCCCCUUCCUUGG